UCGCACAUCUCGCUUCCCGACUUGUCUCUCUUGUUUCCACCGCACCUUUUCCCUCUCGGCGGAAAACACCAGCCUCGAAUAUGCCAAGCUCACCCCACCCAGACGAUCAGGCCGUGCGCUUUCUGCCCCCGCGCCGCGCCGCGCGUGCCGCUCGUCUCGUCGGGUGUCACCGCGCCGCCCCACCCCAUCCGCGCGCCCCCGAAUCUCGCGGCGUCGCCUCGUCAUCGGCCCACAGAAAAGAAAGAAAAGGAGGAGAGCUAAUCGGCCGCCGUGCGGAGCACAGCGCGGCUCAGCGAGCGAGCGGCCGGCCGGCCCUCUC
rnacentral:lncRNA from 1 species